rnacentral:rRNA from 1 species
GGUCGUGCACGCCCGAGUGCCCUCACACACAUCCAUCUCACCCCUAUGUGCACCACCGCGUGGGUCCCCCUUUGGCUUGUUCGGAGGGGGGCUUACGUUUUCACACAAACUUUGUAUGCAGUGUAGAAUGUAUUUUUUGUUUUUGCGAUCACGCAAUCAAUACAACUUUCAACAACGGAUCUCUUGGCUCUCGCAUCGAUGAAGAACGCAGCGAAAUGCGAUACGUAAUGUGAAUUGCAGAAUUCAGUGAAUCAUCGAAUCUUUGAACGCACCUUGCGCCCCUUGGCAUUCCGAGGGGCACACCCGUUUGAGUGUCGUGAAAUUCUCAAAAACCUUUUUCUUUUUGGGAAAGGGUUUUUGGACUUGGAGGCUUUUUGCUGGUUUCGUGUCGAAGUCAGCUCCUCUUAAACGAGUUAGUGGGGUUCGCUUUGUCGAUCUUUGACGUGAUAAGAUGUUUCUGCGUCUUGGGUUUGGCACCGUUGCCCGCUUCUAACCGUCUCAUCGACAACGAUGGUGUUCCGGUCGCCGCCUCUCCGUAGGUGGUCGGCUUGACCCACAACAAACCUUGACCUCAAAUCGGGUGAGACUACCCGCUGAACUUAAGCAUAUCAAUAAGC